AUUCCAGCUCCAAUAGCGUAUAUUAAAGUUGUUGCAGUUAAAAAGCUCGUAGUUGGAUUUCAGUCUUAAUUCGUCUGGCCCGCUCCCUUGAGGAGCCGAGUGCCGGUUGCGAAUUGGACUUCCUUCUAGCAUGAAUCUCCUACCGUUAUGCGGCCGGGAAGGACAUCUGGAUCAUUUACUUUGAAGAAAUUAGAGUGUUCAAAGCAAGCUUACGCUGUGAAUAUAUUAGCAUGGAAUAAUAACAUAGGACUCGGGUUCUAUUUCGUUGGUUUCUAGGGCUCAAGUAAUGAUUGAUAGGGACAGUUGGGGGUGCUGCUAUUAUAUGGCCAGAGGUGAAAUUCUCGGAUUCAUAUAAGAGCAACUUAUGCGAAAGCAUUCACCAAGGAUGUCUUCAUUG
rnacentral:rRNA from 1 species